rnacentral:rRNA from 1 species
UACGGGGGGGGCAAGCGUUGUUCGGAAUUACUGGGCGGAAAGGGCUCGUAGGUGGCCAACUAAGUCAGACGUGAAAUCCCUCGGCUUAACCGGGGAACUGCAUCUGAUACUGGAUGGCUUGAGUUUGGGAGAGGGAUGCGGAAUUCCAGGUGUAGCGGUGAAAUGCGUAGAUAUCUGGAGGAACACCGGUGGCGAAGGCGGCAUCCUGGACCAACACUGACACUGAGGAGCGAAAGCCAGGGGAGCAAACGGG